UGGCUGAUCUGCAGCAAGAGCAUCACAGAGAGAUCGAAGGCCUGCUGGAAAACAUCCGGCAGCUGAGCAGAGAGCUGCGGCUACAGAUGCUCAUCAUUGAUAACUUCAUUCCUCAGGAAUAUCAGGAGAUGAUUGAGAACUAUGUGCACUGGAAUGAGGACAUUGGAGAAUGGCAGCUGAAAUGUGUGGCCUACACCGGCAACAACAUGAGAAAACAGACACCUGUGUCGGACAAGAAAGAAAAAGAUCCAUUUGAAGUAGACCUGUCCCAUGUUUAUCUGGCCUACACUGAGGAGAGCAUGAGA